GACGAACGCUGGCGGCGUGCUUAACACAUGCAAGUCGAACGGAAAGGCCCUGCUUUUGUGGGGUGCUCGAGUGGCGAACGGGUGAGUAACACGUGAGUAACCUGCCCUUGACUUUGGGAUAACUUCAGGAAACUGGGGCUAAUACCGGAUAGGAGCUCCUGCUGCAUGGUGGGGGUUGGAAAGUUUCGGCGGUUGGGGAUGGACUCGCGGCUUAUCAGCUUGUUGGUGGGGUAGUGGCUUACCAAGGCUUAGACGGGUAGCCGGCCUGAGAGGGUGACCGGCCACAUUGGGACUGAGAUACGGCCCAGACGCCUACGGGAGGCAGCAGUGGGGAAUAUUGCACAAUGGGCGGAAGCCUGAUGCAGCAACGCCGCGUGCGGGAUGACGGCCUUCGGGUUGUAAACCGCUUUCGCCUGUGACGAAGCGUGAGUGACGGUAAUGGGUAAAGAAGCACCGGCUAACUACGUG
rnacentral:rRNA from 1 species